GUUAGCUGUAUGACGCCUACCUCAGGUCAAGGGUCAGGGGUCAGGGUUAGCUGUAUGAAGCCUACCUCAGGUCAGGGUUAGCUGUAUGAAGCCUACCUCAGGUCAGGGGUCAGGGUUAGCUGUAUGAAGCCUACCUCAGGCCAGGGAAACAGACAGGUUAGUACGUGACAGAUCAGAGGUCAGCUGGGUCAGCAGGAACAGACAGGUUAGUACGUGACAGAUCAGAGUUCAGCUGGGUCAGGAGAAACAGACAGGUUACAACAUGACAGAUCAGAGUUCAGCUGGGUCUUGGGAGACAGGAGCAGGUCUGAGAUCAGAUCAAGAGAGGGGCAACUCUGAGCUAAAACAGACCAAGUCAGGUACCUUGAAUCCAAUGAUGAAAAGGCUGAGGGUGUCCAGGAGU
ensembl:lncRNA